ensembl:lncRNA
GUCCGGCUCUCCUGGGAUGAAGAUGAUAUCCGUCCUACCUCUGGCGUCACGCCCUGCUGGGGGACGGCAAACUUGCAGUCUGUUCAAGAAAGUCGUGUCCGGAAGCAUAGGAAGGGAGCUUUUGACCCAACCUGAGACUCUGGCAGUGGAGUUUUCGGAUAGACUAUUCGGGUCAAAACCGGGACUUGCAGAGAGAGGAUGAAUGAAAGGAAAAUUAUAAAUAGACGGUGUCUAUUUAUAUAGCAUCAUGUAAGUUGUCAUUUUAAAAGUUACAUUUUACGGUUUAAUCUUGUUUUCGUUUCUAAUCACAAAUGGACGGGAGCACCUAAGUUCUUAAUAGGAUCUACAUGUAUGGAUGUGAGAGUUGGACUGUGAAGAAGGCUGAGCGCCGAAGAAUUGAUGCUUUUGAACUGUGGUGUUGGAGAAGACUCUUGAGAGUCCCUUGGACUGCAAGGAGAUCCAACCAGUCCAUUCUGAAGGAGAUCAGCCCUGGGUGUUCUUUGGAAGGAAUGAUGCUGAAGCUGAAACUCCAGUACUUUGGCCACCUCAUGCGAAGAGUUGAUUCAUUGGAAAAGACUGAUGCUGGGAGGGAUUGGGGGCAGGAGGAGAAGGGGACGACAGAGGAUGAGAUCGCUGGAUGGCAUCACGGACUCGAUGGACGCGGAUUCUUAACCAGCUGAGCCACAAGGGAAGCCCCUAGUUCCCCAACCAGGGAUCAAAUCCACACCCCUUGCAUUGGAAGCUCGAAGAUUCAACCACUGGACCGCCAGGGAAGUUCCUAGAAGUGGAAUUUUUUUAAGCUACAAUGUCCAAGAUGUAGAGAGGAGUGUGUUCAGAAGAAAAGAAUCCGUGUGGCAGCACAUCUGGAAAUCAACUCCUGGGAAGAAGGAAUGAAUGAAGUCAUUGGCCAGGAGCAGAGCAGACUGAAGGAAGCUGGGGAGCCAUCUACAAGGAGCAAAGACUUUUUCCCUGUUGCUCCCUAAGACCAAUUAAGAGGCACCACAGCAUCAGAUUUCUGAUUUCAACUCAAUAUGUGAAAUACUUUUUAACCUCUAGAGCUGUUUACUAAUGGAAUAAUCUACCUUAAUAGAAUAAGUAUUCCCCUAUGAAAACACACAGAGAGAAGUUGAUUGUAGAAGGGAUUCCAGAACUUGGAAGGGAAUUGGAGGAGAGCUGUAUCUGGGUUCUAAGACUUCUUGACCCCAACAUUCCCUGUCUUUCUAAUGCUUGAAACGUCCAUAGGAAAGGCCAAAAUGGCCAGAAAGUAUAAUGUUUCCAAAGUAAAUAAUUAUUCAGUAUAAACUUGACUUGAUAUUCAUGAGUGCGAUAUCCUCACAGGAGGCUGAAAUCUAAGAAGUUUGCUGAGUGACCCACACAAAUAUCAGAGAGGAAAGUGUUAUCUAAGAUUGUAAUGACAAGAGCCAGAAAUCAGCAGGUACACUGGGACCUAAACUCGAGUCCUUAAUCUUGUUUGCAUAUUAUAUUAGGAGAAUACCCCAGUAAAUCCAAAUCAAAUUAUACAAUGUUACACUGUUAGUUACUAAAAAUUAAUGACGGCAAUUUGUUUCUCUUCUUAGACUUUGGUUUUCAGUUUUUCUCCUACGAUUUCCCUUUUGUUCAUUCAAACUUGUGAACAAUGCCUUAAGAAGCUGUGGAGAAGUAGACAAUUCUGCUUUGGGGUUGGGAUGGCCAUUUGGCCAUAGUUAUCAAAAUGUGAAGGGAACAUACCCUUUGACCCAGCAAUUCCACUUGUAGGAAUGAAUUUCCCUCCAUAUAAGAAAGCACCGCAGUAAAGAGUAUGUGCGGGGCUUCCCUGGUGGCCCAGUGGUUAAGAAUCUGCUUUGCAGUGCACGGGAAAUGCUGGUUUGAUCUUCGGUCCCUUUGAUCCUUGGUCCUGGAAGAUCCCACAUGCCUUGGAGCAGCUAAGCCCAUGCUCCACAAUAAGAGAAGUCACCGCAAUGAGAGGCCCAUGCACCCCAGCUAGAAAGUGGCUGCUGGUCGCCACAGCUGGAGCAAGCCAGCACUCAACAAUGAAGACCCAGUGCAGCCAAAAAUCAAUAAAUAAUCAUUUAAAUUUUUUAAAAAGAAUAUGUGCAGCAAAACAUUAAAAAUGCCCUGACUGUCUAUCAAUAAGGGACUGUUUCAUGAGGAAUGACACAUGCUAUAUCAAGGGUAGAAGAUCUUUAUGUACUGACUUGGAAAGUGCUCCAAGAUACACUGUUGUAUGACAAAAGCAAGGUAGUAAACUUUGUGCUUUAAAAAAAAAGCAUCUAGGGACUUCCUUGGAGGUUCAGUGAUUAAGACUCAAUGCUUUGACUGCAGUGGGUGUGGGUUUGAUCACUGAUUGGGGAACUGAGGAUCCCACAUGCUGCAGGGCAUGGCCAAAAAAAAAAAAAAAAGCUCAGAAAAAGGACAUCUAUAGACAGAAAUACACGAUGUGCCAGGCAGCUUCUAAGAUGAUCCUCAAUGCUCUCCAACCCUUGGUGUGGAUUCAACCUAGUGUGGGUUCAACCUAGUGUCUUUUUUCUAACAGAAUAUAGCAAGGGUGUCGAUUCUGAGAUUUGGUUGUAGAAAAAAACUUUGGUUUCCUUCUUGUCCUUCUUGAG